GACAGAGGGUGCAAACGUUGUUCGGAUUUACUGGGCGUAAAGCGCGUGUAGGCGGCUUUGCAAGUCGGAUGUGAAAGACCACGGCUCAACCGUGGAAGUGCAUCCGAAACUGCAUGGCUGGAGUCUCGGAGAGGAAGGUGGAAUGCUUGGUGUAGAGGUGAAAUUCGUAGAUAUCAAGCAGAACACCUGCGGCGAAGGCGGCCUUCUGGACGAUGACUGACGCUGAGACGCGAAAGCGUGGGGAGCAAACAGG
rnacentral:rRNA from 1 species